CCUACGGGCGGCAGCAGUGAGGAAUAUUGGUCAAUGGGCGUAAGCCUGAACCAGCCAAGUCGCGUGAGGGAUGAAGGUUCUAUGGAUCGUAAACCUCUUUUAUAAGGGAAUAAAGUGUGGGACGUGUCCUGUUUUGUAUGUACCUUAUGAAUAAGGAUCGGCUAACUCCGUGCCAGCAGCCGCGGUAAUACGGAGGAUCCGAGCGUUAUCCGGAUUUAUUGGGUUUAAAGGGUGCGUAGGCGGCCUUUUAAGUCAGCGGUGAAAGUCUGUGGCUCAACCAUAGAAUUGCCGUUGAAACUGGGAGGCUUGAGUAUGUUUGAGGCAGGCGGAAGGCGUGGUGUAGCGGUGAAAUGCUUAGAUAUCACGCAGAACCCCGAUUGCGAAGGCAGCCUGCCAAGCCAUGACUGACGCUGAUGCACGAAAGCGUGGGGAUCAAACAGGAUCAGAUACCCCAGUAGUC
rnacentral:rRNA from 1 species